UACGUAGGGUGCGAGCGUUGUCCGGAAUUAUUGGGCGUAAAGAGCUCGUAGGCGGUUUGUCGCGUCGACUGUGAAAACCCGAGGCUUAACCUCGGGCCUGCAGUCGAUACGGGCAGACUAGAGUUCGGUAGGGGAGACUGGAAUUCCUGGUGUAGCGGUGAAAUGCGCAGAUAUCAGGAGGAACACCGGUGGCGAAGGCGGGUCUCUGGGCAGUAACUGACGCUGAGGAGCGAAAGCGUGGGGGAGCGAACAGG
rnacentral:rRNA from 1 species